UUCGCAAUGCCCGAAAGGGUGACGAAGCGACGCCGCGUGCGGGAAGAAGGCCUUCGGGUUGUAAACCGCUGUCGGGAGUUAAGAAAUGUAAGGAUGUUAAUAGCGUCUUUGCUUGACUAAGGCUCCGGAGGAAGCCACGGCUAACUCUGUGCCAGCAGCCGCGGUAAUACAGAGGCGGCAAGCGUUGUUCGGAAUUAUUGGGCGUAAAGAGCACGUAGGCGGCUAUGUAAGUCGGUUGUGAAAGCCUUCCGCUCAACGGGAGAACAGCAUCCGAUACUGCAUGGCUUGAGUGCGGGAGGGGAGAGUGGAACUUCUGGUGGAGCGGUGAAAUGCGUAGAUAUCAGAAGGAACGCCGGCGGCGAAAGCGGCUCUCUGGCCCAUAACUGACGCUGAGUGUGCGAAAGCUAGGGGAGCAAACGGGAUUAGAUACCCCGGUAGUCCUAGCCGUAAACGAUGGGCACUAAGUAGAGGGGUUUU
rnacentral:rRNA from 1 species